UUAUUGAUAAUAAUUUUAAGUCUAAUCUGCCCAAUGAUAAUUUAAAUGGCUGCAGUAUUUUAACUGUACAAAGGUAGCAUAAUAAUUAGUCUUUUAAUUAGGGACUAGAAUGAAUGAUUGAACGAGAUAAUAACUGUCUCUUAUUAAAUUAUAGAAUUUUAUUUUUAAGUUAAAAAGCUUAAAUAAAUUUAAAAGACGAGAAGACCCUAUAGAGUUUUAUAUUUAAUUUAUUAUAAAAUUUAGUUUAAAAUUUUUAUUUUUUAAAAUAAAUAUUUAAUUGGGGUGAUUAAAAAAUUUAAUUAACUUUUUUUAAAAUUUGUCAUUAAUUAAUGAAUUUUUGAUCCAAUAUUUUUGAUUAUAAGAUUAAAUUACCUUAGGGAUAACAGCGUAAUUUUUUUUAAGAGUUCUUAUCGAAAAAAAAGAUUGCGACCUCGAUGUUGGAUUAAAAUUAAUUUUUGGCGUAGAAGUUAAAAAAUUAGGUCUGUUCGACCUUUA
rnacentral:rRNA from 1 species